rnacentral:rRNA from 1 species
AACGAACGCUGGCGGCAUGCCUAACACAUGCAAGUCGAACGAGACCUUCGGGUCUAGUGGCGCACAGGUGCGUAACGCGUGGGAACCUGCCCUUAGGUUCGGAAUAACUCCCCGAAAGGGGUGCUAAUACCGGAUAAUGUCUUCGGACCAAAGAUUUAUCGCCUUUGGAUGGGCCCGCGUUGGAUUAGCUAGUUGGUAGGGUAAAAGCCUACCAAGGCGACGAUCCAUAGCUGGUCUGAGAGGAUGAUCAGCCACACUGGGACUGAGACACGGCCCAGACUCCUACGGAAGGAAGAAGUGGGAAAAAUUGGCCAGUGGGCGAAAGCCUGACCCAGCAAUCCCGGGUGAGUGAUGAGGGCCUUAGGGUUGUAAGCUCUUUUACCCGGGAUGAUAAUGACAGUACCGGGAGAAUAAGCUCCGGCUAACUCCGUG